rnacentral:misc_RNA from 1 species
AACCUAGCACACCUGCGGUGUGUACCUGCGGAAGGAUCAUUACACAAUACAAUAUGAAGGCUGUCCGCAGCUGGAGUAUUUUAUUACCCUUGUCUUUUGCGCACUCGUUGUUUCCUGGGCGGGUUCGCUCGCCACCAGGACCACCAAAUAAACCAUUUUUAUGCAGUUGCAAUCAGCGUCAGUACAAACAAUGUAAAUCAUUUACAACUUUCAGCAACGGAUCUCAGAUCGGAAGAGCAC